AGAGUUUGAUCCUGGCUCAGGAUGAACGCUGGCGGCGUGCCUAACACAUGCAAGUCGAGCGGAGUUAUUUUCAGGAAGCUUUCGGGUGGAAUGAACUUAACUUAGCGGCGGACGGGUGAGUAACGCGUGGACAACCUACCCUGUACAGGGGGAUAACAAUGGGAAACCAUUGCUAAUACCCCAUAACACCUUUUAGGGGCAUCCCUUUAAGGUCAAAGAAUUUCGGUACAGGAUGGGUCCGCGUCUGAUUAGCUAGUUGGUGAGGUAAUGGCUCACCAAGGCGACGAUCAGUAGCCGGCCUGAGAGGGUGAACGGCCACACUGGAACUGAGACACGGUCCAGACUCCUACGGGAGGCAGCAGUGGGGAAUAUUGCACAAUGGGCGAAAGCCUGAUGCAGCAACGCCGCGUGAGCGAUGAAGGCUUUCGGGUCGUAAAGCUCUGUCCUAAGGGAAGAUAAUGACGGUACCUUAGGAGGAAGCCCCGGCUAACUACGUGCCAGCCGCCGCGGUAAUAC
rnacentral:rRNA from 1 species